rnacentral:rRNA from 1 species
CCUACGGGUGGCUGCAGUCGAGAGGCUUCGUCAAUGGGGGAAACCCUGAACGAGCGACGCCGCGUGGGCGAUGAAGGCCGUUAGGUUGUAAAGCCCUGUCGAGCGGGAAGAAACGCAGGCGGGCAAACAGUCCGUCUGUUUGACGGUACCGCUAAAGGAAGCUCCGGCUAACUCCGUGCCAGCAGCCGCGGUAAUACGGGGGGAGCAAGCGUUGUUCGGAAUUACUGGGCGUAAAGGGCGUGCAGGCGGCCGUGUAAGUGGAAUGUGAAAUGCCCUGGCUCAACCAGGGAACUGCAUCCCAUACUGCAAGGCUUGAGUAUAGGAGAGGAUGGGGGAAUUCCCGGUGUAGCGGUGAAAUGCAUUGAUAUCGGGAGGAACACCAGUGGCGAAGGCGCCCAUCUGGCCUAAUACUGACGCUCAGGCGCGAAAGCUAGGGGAGCAAACAGGAUUAGAUACCCUGUAGUC